rnacentral:rRNA from 1 species
AGAGCUUGCUCUCGGGUGACGAGCGGCGGACGCGUGAGUAAUGUCUGGGAAACUGCCUGAUGGAGGGGGAUAACUACUGGAAACGGUAGCUAAUACCGCAUAACGUCGCAAGACCAAAGUGGGGGACCUUCGGGCCUCAUGCCAUCAGAUGUGCCCAGAUGGGAUUAGCUAGUAGGUGGGGUAACGGCUCACCUAGGCGACGAUCCCUAGCUGGUCUGAGAGGAUGACCAGCCGCACUGGAACUGAGACACGGUCCAGACUCCUACGGGAGGCAGCAGUGGGGAAUAUUGCACAAUGGGCGCAAGCCUGAUGCAGCCAUGCCGCGUGUGUGAAGAAGGCCUUCGGGUUGUAAAGCACUUUCAGCGGGGAGGAAGGCGGUGAGGUUAAUAACCUCACCGAUUGACGUUACCCGCAGAAGAAGCACCGGCUAACUCCGUGCCAGCAGCCGCGGUAAUACGGAGGGUGCAAGCGUUAAUCGGAAUUAUUGGGCGUAAAGGGCGCGCAGGCGGCUUCUUAAGUCUGUCUUAAAAGUGCGGGGCUUAACCCCGUGAUGGGAUGGAAACUGGGAAGCUCAGAGUAUCGGAGAGGAAAGCGGAAUUCCUAGUGUAGCGGUGAAAUGCGUAGAUAUUAGGAGGAACACCAGUGGCGAAAGCGGCUUUCUGGACGGUAACUGACGUUGAGGCUCGAAAGCGUGGGGAGC